AUUGAAACACCGGUUCUCGUGCGAUCACCGAAAAUAAGCAACGUCGAUCCUGGUCAGUACAUAGAUGGGUGACCGCUUGGGAAUACUAGAUGCU